rnacentral:miRNA from 1 species
AGGAGCUAUCCACUCCAGGUGUCC